GCAUUGAGCACUGAGUGACUCACGUUUUGCUGCGUGGCUGCUCUCAGCUAGAGAUGGGGUCUCGCUACAUUGACCAAGCUGGUCUCAAAAUCCUGGCCUGAAGCAAUCCUCCCGCCUCAGACUCCCAAGGAUCUGGCAGCCUUGGCCCAAGCAAUCCCAGUGGGCGCAUCUUGGGAGCUGACUUUGGGGCCACCUUUCCCCAUGCUGCCUGGGGACCAGAGAACACUGACCGCGGGAAAGACCGAUGCUGCCGAGGCCAGGAGGAGGGGGAGGCCGUCAUCUGUGGGUCCCCAGCAGCGCUUGGGGUCCUGGCCACUCCAGCGGCCCCUUGCACCUGCCUCCAGGGAUCCUUUGUCUUCAAAAUAACCUCCCUCCACCUUCCGGCUCAUAGUGCCUUGGGUGGAUCUGUUCCCAUUUCCCACAAGCCUGCAGGGUGGUGACAGGCCCUCAUUCCCAUGUGCCCCAAGAUUUCGGAUUCCAAAAAUACAUCCCCUGGCUCCCCGGAGAAGUGUGUCACGGUGUCUCCGUUUCACCACUGACAGGGCCAAAGGAUGUGCUCUCCUCUCCCGAGCUGCCAUGGUCAAGGGCUCACCUAGAUAACCCAGGACAGUCCCCUCAUCUCACAAUGACGCCCCCAGUCGGGCUGCCGAGACCGUGCCUGCUGAGCCUAACAUUCCAAGGUUCCAGGAGCUGGGGUGUGGACGGACCUGGGGCCUGCCAUGCCCUCCAAGUGCUGCCCUGCCCCUUGAAGGCCAGGCCAGUCCUGGAAGCUGGGAAGGCCAAGAUCAAGGCGCAGGCAGAUCGGGGGUCUGGUGAGGGGCUUCCUGGUUUCCUGACAGCUGACUUCUCACACGGUGGAAAGAGGGCUACGGAGCUCUCUGGCCUCCUCUUGUAAGGACACUAAUCCCAUUCCCAGGGGCUCCACCCUCAUGACCUGCUCACCUCCCAAGGGCCCCACCUCCUAACGCCAUCACACUGGGAGUAGGGUUUCAACAUGUACAUUUCAGGAGGACACAAACCUUCAGUCCAUCGGGCAUAUGGGGGACGGGUGGGAGCACGUGUUAGCUGGUGCAUGGGUGGGUGGGUGAGUCAAGGGGGGCUCAUAGGCCCCUGUUCACACCACUUGGUCGGAAGGGGGCUUUUACCUGGGUGUGGUCACCCCCAGCACCACUGGGGCCUUAUGACUUUUAUCACCAAAGCUCUACAAGGUGGCAGUCAUGAAUGAGAAACUGAGGCUCCGAGGGGAGGUGCUGGGCUCAGGCUCACCAGCUGCAGGGUGCCACAUCUCAUACCCCAUCCUCCGCUCCCAGCCCUGAGGAGCCCUCAGAGCCCAGCCUGUCCCAGGCUCUCUGCCCAGUGGCAGAGGAGACCCAGGCCUCAUUUGGUGGUUGCCAAAGGCACAAAGGCAGUCCCCGCUCAGUGAUGCUAUGGUCCCCUCCCUGAAUCCACAUGCAGAGAUCAGGGCUGGAGAUGGCCCCAGUGACCUGGGGACUGGCCAGCACCUUGGACACUGUGGCUGAUUAUCUGGGCUAAGCACACAGCUUCAAGAGUCUACCUGGAAGCUAGGCACAGUGAGCCCCGUAGUCCCAGCUACUCAGGAGGCCGAGGCGAGAGGAUCAUGUGAGCACGGGAG
rnacentral:lncRNA from 10 species